rnacentral:misc_RNA from 1 species
UUUCUUACAACUUCUUACUUUUUUAAAAAAAUUCAAAUAUAUGUCUUUCAAAUUGAUAUUGUACUUUUUUUUAGUGCAAAAUUUGUAUCUUUUGACAAAAUUUAGAAUUCUUUAUAAGUGGAAUAGGUAAAAUCAUCUUAUCUUAUGAUGUCUGUUAAUAAGAAAAUUAAUCCAUCUCACUAUGGGAACUAAGAGUCUAAGACAUACCAACUUCUGAAAUAAAAAGAAAGAACAGGAUUGCCCCCUGUGUAGGCAAGAGUAUUGUGACUCUUGAACAUGGUGUCAUGUUUAAACUCCUAGCACAAGUGUUCUCAAUACAUUGAGUGAUCUGGUUCAUUUUAUAGUAAUGUAUGCAACG